AGCGGAGGAGACAGCAGUAUGCCUCAAAAAUCAGGCAGCCAAAAAAGAAAGGAAAAUAAAAUAAGAGAGGAGAAGGAGUUGAAGGCUCGACAAUAUGUCACCCAAUAUUUCCAAAAAAAAGAGUCAAGUGCACCAGCAGCAGCAGCAGCUGUCUGUCAGCCCCCAAGUCCCCCUGCCCCUGAAUCAGCCCCAGUGCCCCCACAUGAGGAAGGAGGUUUCUCAGACACCCUUUUAAGCACAACCUAUCCAAAUAAAGAAGAGAUAAAGCAUGCGAUGAGAUGCUGCUGAUGGAGAAGCUUUACCAGGUGUGACAGGUGAUGACCUACCUGCCUUCAACAGGUUUUAAACGCUGGAUGUGAAAAUGUGAGCUAGAUCAAUGAGUGUAUCAGUCAUUUAGGAUGAAACACUCUUUGAGACCGGAGAUAGGCUAAGCAAACACAUUCCCAUCCGCUAGUGAAAAUGGAUACGCUGUUGACCUGUCCGCUCACACAAAAGCCUUUCCCAAAGCUCAGAAUCCUGGUGUUUACCCUCAGAGCUGGGGGAUUAGAAGAUCAACACCACUGGCAGAUGAGGGGGACUUCUCAUUCCCAGAACCACCCCAACUUUGAUGCCCUUGAGGGUGCCAUUGAAGCUAGAACCGCUACUGGCCUCAACGUUUAGUAAUUGUUGUGCAAGUGUAAAAAUAAGCUAACCACAAUAAUAUUUAUCUAUCCAUCUGUCCAUCAACAAAUGACUUCAUUGUAUUUCAGACAGUGCGGUUGACGGAGGAAGGCACAAGUGAUGUAAUCCUAAAAGUGUUGAAGCUGGGUCGUUUUAAAUGAGUUUGUCAUCCCACCAUGGUUGGCCAUGAAUGACCUCACCAGCCAUGCUGCUGUAAUAAACUAAAGCAAUAAGAAUGUGCAGGAGGGAAAACAGUGCCUGCAGAGAGCUACUGAGAAGCGGAGAAAAACACAAAAUGUCUCCUGAUGAAUAUCAAUUGAUGUCGCUCGGUUGCGUACACGUACACACACGCACACACACACACACACACACACACACACACACACUGACCAUUUGCAGUGUGCUGUGAAAAGAGACUUCCAUAUGUACUUGUACAUUCUGCGGCCCU